rnacentral:rRNA from 1 species
UACAGAGGUCCCAAGCGUUGUUCGGAUUCACUGGGCGUAAAGGGUGCGUAGGUGGCCAGGUAAGUUUGGUGUGAAAGCUCGGAGCUUAACUCCGAAAAGUCAUUGAAUACUAUCUGGCUGGAGGGUCGGAGGGGAGACUGGAAUUCUCGGUGUAGCAGUGAAAUGCGUAGAUAUCGAGAGGAACACCAGUGGCGAAGGCGAGUCUCUGGACGACUCCUGACACUGAGGCA